GUGAGGAAUAUUGGUCAAUGGGCGGGAGCCUGAACCAGCCAAGUCGCGUGAAGGAAGAAGGAUCUAUGGUUCGUAAACUUCUUUUGCAGGGGAAUAAAGUGCGGGACGUGUCCUGUUUGUAUGUACCCUGAGAAUAAGGAUCGGCUAACUCCGUGCCAGCAGCCGCGGUAAUACGGAGGAUCCGAGCGUUAUCCGGAUUUAUUGGGUUUAAAGGGUGCGUAGGUGGUUUGAUAAGUCAGCGGUGAAAGUUUGCAGCUUAACUGUAAAAAUGCCGUUGAAACUGUCGGACUUGAGUGUAAAUGAGGUAGGCGGAAUGUGUGGUGUAGCGGUGAAAUGCAUAGAUAUCACGCAGAACUCCGAUUGCGAAGGCAGCUUACUAAGCUACAACUGACACUGAAGCACGAAAGCGUGGGGAUCAAACAGGAUUAGAAACCCGUGUAGUCC
rnacentral:rRNA from 1 species